rnacentral:rRNA from 1 species
GACAUUGCGUGUCCUACCAUGCGCGUGGAGCGGUAGCUUUCUAGCUUGCUAGAAGAUGACGAGCGGCGGACGGGUGAGUAAUGCUUGGGAACAUGCCUUGAGGUGGGGGACAACCGUUGGAAACGACGGCUAAUACCGCAUAAUGUCUACGGACCAAAGGGGGCUUCGGCUCUCGCCUUUAGAUUGGCCCAAGUGGGAUUAGCUAGUUGGUGAGGUAAUGGCUCACCAAGGCGACGAUCCCUAGCUGGUUUGAGAGGAUGAUCAGCCACACUGGAACUGAGACACGGUCCAGACUCCUACGGGAGGCAGCAGUGGGGAAUAUUGCACAAUGGGCGCAAGCCUGAUGCAGCCAUGCCGCGUGUGUGAAGAAGGCCUUCGGGUUGUAAAGCACUUUCAGCAAGGAGGAAAGGUUAGUAGUUAAUACCUGCUAGCUGUGACGUUACUUGCAGAAGAAGCACCGGCUAACUCCGUGCCAGCAGCCGCGGUAAUACGGAGGGUGCGAGCGUUAAUCGGAAUUACUGGGCGUAAAGCGUACGCAGGCGGUUUGUUAAGCGAGAUGUGAAAGCCCCGGGCUUAACCUGGGAACUGCAUUUCGAACUGGCAAACUAGAGUGUGAUAGAGGGUGGUAGAAUUUCAGGUGUAGCGGUGAAAUGCGUAGAGAUCUGAAGGAAUACCGAUGGCGAAGGCAGCCACCUGGGUCAACACUGACGCUCAUGUACGAAAGCGUGGGGAGCAAACAGGAUUAGAUACCCUGGUAGUCCACGCCGUAAACGAUGUCUACUAGAAGCUCGACUUUUCGGAGUUGUUUUUCAAAGCUAACGCAUUAAGUAGACCGCCUGGGGAGUACGGCCGCAAGGUUAAAACUCAAAUGAAUUGACGGGGGCCCGCACAAGCGGUGGAGCAUGUGGUUUAAUUCGAUGCAACGCGAAGAACCUUACCUACACUUGACAUACAGAGAACUUUCUAGAGAUAGAUUGGUGCCUUCGGGAACUCUGAUACAGGUGCUGCAUGGCUGUCGUCAGCUCGUGUUGUGAGAUGUUGGGUUAAGUCCCGCACGAGCGCAACCCCUUUCCUUAGUUGCCAGCGAUUCGGUCGGGAACUUCUAAGGAGACUG